GAAAUGCGAUAAGUAAUGUGAAUUGCAGAAUUCAGUGAAUCAUCGAAUCUUUGAACGCACCUUGCGCUCCUUGGUAUUCCGAGGAGCAUGCCUGUUUGAGUGUCAUGGAAUUCUCAACUCUAUUUGCUUUUGUGAAUAGAGCUUGGAUUCGGAGGUUUAUUGCUGGUACUUGUGAUCGGCUCCUCUUGAAUGCAUUAGCUCGAACCUUUGCGGAUCAGCUAUCGGUGUGAUAAUUGUCUACGCCGUUGCAGUGAAGCAUAUCAAUGGGCUCGGCUUCCAAUCGUCCUUUACUGGACAAUGACUUUGACCUUUGACCUCAAAUCAGGUAGGAUUACCCGCUGAACUUAAGC
rnacentral:misc_RNA from 1 species